rnacentral:lncRNA from 1 species
CUUCUUCAUGUUACCAGCUCUGCUCACUCUAUCAAAAGCAGACAAGAAAGGCCAAUGAGAGAAGCGUCUUACUGGGCCUAAUGCUUCGACCUCCCAAUAAGGAGGUCUUCUUGCCUCAGUCUCCUGGGAUUAAAGGCAUGUACUACCUUGCCUGGGCCCAAGCUUUUCAUGGCCACUGUGCCUCAAGAUCUCCAUGUCAAGAUCCAGGUCAGAAACUUGUGUCUUCCAGCCUCAAGAUCUGGAUCACAGAUAUCGUCAAGCUGACAAGGAAUAGCCAUCACAGUCCUCCUACCUCUGCUUCUCGAAUGGCGUGGGAUUCCAGAGGUGAGCUAGGCUCUUCUCACCAUGUUCUAUGAGGCUCAAAUCUUUAAUUUCCUGAAGAAAACUCAUCUAAUACUUGAGCCGUGGUGGUCCUCUCUGGGUGGACUGAGGAGCCUCUGUAGGUAGGAUGUUCCUGUGGGUGGAACUCUCCAGGAUCCACCACUCAGACCCUGAAGCAGAUGGGCCCCCUGCGUGUAAAGUUGGCACAUGAUGUUCCCAAGGGCAACCCAAGGCUGGGUGGGACCUGUGUGGCCAGGGAAGGGAGCCUCAGUACACCAGACUCAGUAUCCUUCACUUUGUAUAGAAGGCGGAGCUGAUAGCAGAAGUCCUUGGAGAGGAGGGCUAGUGAGGUGACUCAGCAGGUGAAGAUGCUGGCUGCCCUACCAAACUACUAGUCCGUGUGGGACUGUCCUCGGGGCGAUGCGGAAGUGCCUGCACUGCCGGAGGUAAACAAGUUCCUGCCCCCACCGAAACAGGAGCAAACAGGAGGUUCACGUUCCCACCGCUUUGCAACACUGUUUCAGUACCUCCCCUCCCCCUCUUUCCCAGGCGCUAGCUGAUGGAGGCCAACACCAAAGAAUGACCAUCAUCUCCCCCACCAACGCUGGCGAACCUUUCUCUUUUCUCCUGGGUAAUAAUACUGUGUCCCAGGCUUGCUCAGCGGGUGGCCAUAGGAGUCUGGGAGACCCGGUCCAGUGGACAGGGUUUUGGGGUUCCGCUUAGAGUUGCUUCAGUCUAUAGAAAGCUGAGCCGGGCUCUGCCUCUUCUAUCGCAUGACCCCCACCCGGUGGUGGUGUCCCCAAGAGGAGAUCACCCGGAUUCCCCCCACCCCCUUCUACCUCUGCGCAGAGGGAACGCUGCUACUUUCGGAGUUGUACUCCUUGGUCCGGGAUAUUCCUAGACCCUGCGCCUGAGGGGCUGGGAGCGCAGCGCUUUGUUAUUCAGCCGGAAAGAUGCCCCAAGAAUUAAAAGACUUUAUAAAAUGUAGGUUGACUACACCACCUGCACCUGCCUUCAUUGUUGCUCUCUCACAGAAUUUCAGAAAUGCGCUAGGCCUCCUGGUGCAUGCCUAUAAUCCGAAGGCAGGACUCCUGGGGUUUGAGGCCCUGUGACACGUAGAAAGACCUUGUUUCAAGAAAUUUAGAAAUACCAGCAUAUUAAAGACGCCUCCCCCCCCCCAAAAAAAAGACAUAUCCAAAACUAUGGGUCUUUGGGCUUUUGUACGACUCCUAUUAGGAGUUACGAACACGUGUGAAAUUACCUCAGAUAGGGGACCAAAAACAAACGAAACAACAUUGCUCCUAAAUCCAACUUGUUGAGCAAAUAAGUAAAUUACAGUCUGGGAACUGAUACUCUCAGAAGAGGGGGGAAAAUCACAUCUAUAUUAAAGAUUUUGCAAUACCAAU